GAAAAUAUAUAAACUCUGCAGGGUUUCCAAAUUAAGGUUUUUUUUCCAAUUUGCUUCCUCUGCCUUACUUGAAAUGUUCCCCUCUGUCAACCAUCAGUUCUCUCUUUCUCAUCUUUCGGUCAUAGAAAAAGUACCUUGGCCUCCUUUGCAUGACGUUCAUUUCAGCUUACACAAGUAAUUUUCCUUCUUGACUUCCCUUUUGUUCUCUGUUGACGGAUAGAAAUCCUUGUAUUUGCAUUAAUUGCUUGAUCUUCAUCCUUUUCUACUAUGUUCUCCAGUGGAAAGGAUGUUCUCUUGAUUUUUGUAAUGUAUCAUGAGAUCUAGUAAAAGGAACAAUGUUACCUUUUCCAAGUAAUUAACUCUCUCCACAUUUCUUUGUAAUACAUCGAAGAAACUCUCUCCACAUUUCUUUGUAAUACAUUGAAGAUUUGAUAUAUUAUAACUGAUAUCACCUCUACUCAACAAAUAAGGUUGGUAGGGAGAUAAUGGGAUGCUUUGAACCAGAUGUGCUUGGAAAGUACUUUGUUUCUCAGGUUCUUGAAGCUCAACCAAAUCACCAGACCCCUCUUUUACUGAGAGUCCUUUUUUGUUGGCUGUUGUAGAUUAGGAUAAUUAGCUGUUUCCUUAUUUUUGUUAUCAUGUUUACAUGUAAAUAUAACAUCUUGUGACAACUUAGCUUAAGCCUUCCCAGACCCUUCACCCUUAUGAUGGUGACAAUCUCAGAUAAGGGCAUUGUAGUUUAUCACUACCAACAAUUCUCUUUCCUUCUACAUGUAUCUGUUGAACUAUUGUGAAUAUGAAAUCUUUAUUAUCCAGGGCCCAAUUAGCAAAAAAAUCAGCUAACUAAUUUUUUUCUCUAAAUAUAUGUUGAAAUUGAACUUGCUUGCCUGAUAAUAACUUCCAUAUUUGUUGUACAUAACCCCCUAUGCUCCAUGGAAAUUCCCAAUCCCUUUUUAAUAUCUUUUGCAUUGCCAAUGAGUCUGUCUGCAUUAUGACCUUUUCAUAAUGCAUAUGAUUGUAACGUUUUGCUGUAUUUAGGAUAGCAAUUACUCAAGAUUCCAUAUUAUUAGUAUCUUUAAUUAUAGCCCCUUCAGCAUGCAUUAAAUCUCCUCUGCCAUAUUUUAGGCAGAAUUAGCAAAGUAGGAACAAGUCCUGUUAGAAAUAUUUGAUCUCAGGAACACAUGAGACAGUCUCUUGUGCCGGAUUAGUGCAAUAUCAACACCUUGAUGGACCUUCAAAUCCCAAUCUCCUGAUAUUAUCAUCUAUCGGAACCUUUCCCUUCCACAAUAUCCAUAUGAAAAUAUAUACUUUAAAAGGCAAGUAAUUCAACCAUAUAUCUUUAUAAGUAUCAUUAAUUCACUCUCUUUGCCUAAUAUACUGCCAAUCUAUCUUUACUGUGAAAAGACCCUUUGAGUUAAUACUCCAAAUUUCUUUAUCUUCUUCAUUUCCCUGGUCAAGUGGAUGUAUCUUGUUUAUUAUGUAUUGGACAAUUUCCUCUGGAAAUAGAGAUGACAUCACCUCCUCAUUCCAUACUCCAUGUCUUGCCAAAUCAUUCACCUGUUGAUAUCUGUCCCUCUUCCAUAUUUUCCUAUGGUAUAGAAUACAAAUCUCCUAACCCUGGCCUGUUAUCAAACCAGAUAUUUACAUCCCCUUUUCUAAUCUACCAUGAUAUAUUAUGUUCAAUUAAAUCUCUAGCAAUAAGCAUUUUCUUCCAAACUUGAGAUCCUCCACUAACUUUCCACAUUACUUUCUUGGGAUGAUUUUUUUUACAGUAUUUGUUAUACAUGUAUUUUCUCCAAAUUGAAUUUGCAGUUUUGAACUUCCACCAGAGUUUGUAGAAUAGGUCUGUAGAUACAUCAUGUAAUAUUCUGAAACCUAACCCUCCUUCUUCUUUAGGUAGACAAAAUCUCUUCCAAUUCACCUAAUGUCUUCCUCUUCCUCUUAUUGUACUACUUCUAAAAAAAUUGAGCAAAUAUUUUGUGUGUUAUGAUCAUAACAUUUAGAGGGGGAUUCAUAAUAGAAAUACAAUGAAUAGGAUUGCUUUGCAGAACAUGCUUGAUUAAUAUAGCUCUUCCUCCAUGGGAUAGUAACUUGCCUUUCCAGCUUUGCUACUUGCUACCUAUCCUAUUCAUUAAGGAAUGAUAAUAGUCCUUAUUCUUCCUCAUACAAAAAAUUGGACAACCUAAGUAAGUAAAAGGGAACUCUUAUCUCUAUAUUCCUGUAGCAACCUCAGCCAUUACUACUGUACCAUUAGAAACUCUUUUAUGCAAAUAUAGAGCAUUUUUAUCUUUAUUAAUCUUCUGGCCAGACACCGAUUCAUAUUUUUCCAAUGUAUCUGUUACCAUCUUCAAAGUUCUUACUUUAGCCUUACACUAUAUAAUCAUAUCAUAUCCAAAGGCAAUAUUAUUAAUUUUGGGACUUUCCCUUGGCAUCCCAAACAACUUAAACUGCUUCUGAGAUAGCAAAGAUCUCAAGCUCCGGGUCAACACUUCAGCUGCUAAUAUAAACAAAGCUGGGGAUAAUGGAUCCCCUUGUUUAAACCCUUUUGAUGAUUUAAAAAAUACUUUGGGUUGGCCAUUCAAUAAAAUUGAAUACCAAUUAUUUGUAACUAGCCUGAAAACCAUGUCAAUUAUUUCUUCACAAAAUCCUAUAUUUCUUAGGACGUUUGUGAGAAACAACCACUUUACCCUAUCAUAAACUUUCAUCAUAUCCAACUUCAGCACUAUAUUAGGAGGCUUUCCUCUUUUCCUUAUUUAUGACACUAUCUCCUAUAUUGAUAAAAUAUUUUUAGUAAUACUUCUUCCUUGUACAAAUCCAGCUUGCUCUUUAGAAAUUAUAUCAGGCAAAAACCCCUUAAUUCUUUCAUGCAUUAAUAUUGAAAAGAUUUUAUUCAAAAAAUUACUAAGGGAAAUAGGUAUCAUAUCAGAGAAUAUGUUCACUACCAACUUCUUUGGUAGAAGCACCAAAUUAGUAUAUGUAAUAAAUCUUGGAAGUUCAAAUACACAAGAAGAAAUUUGUUAUCAUUAGAUAAAUAUCCUUACCAAUAAUCUCCCUUUUUUCUUGAUAGAAUGCUCUAGUCAGGCCAUUAGGUCCCCUUAUGCUGUCUCUAUUUAACCCCAUCACUGCAGCCUUAACUUCCUCCUAACUUGGAGGUUUCUUUAGUUCUUGUCACGUGAAAAUACUAAAGGCAAUACAUACAACAUUGAGAAAUCCAUUUCAUCCUCCUAUUUUGUAACUAUUUUUGAAAGAAUUUUGUAGUAGCUUCUACAAUUUCAGCUUGAUCUUCCUUCCAAGUUCUUUCAAAAUUUUAUAUUAUUGUCACCUUUAUCCUAGCACUUUCGCCUUUCACUAUAGUAUGAAAAAACUUGGUAUUCCUUUCCCCAUCCUUGAACUACUCAAAACCUACCUUUUGUCUCCAGAAAUCCUCCUCCCUUCCUUAGCUAUAUACUAAGUUCAUCCUGUGCUUUCAAUAAUCUAGCUCUAUUGGUUCUUGAAGGAUCUUUCUCAAACUGAUUCUCUCUUACCUUCAAAACCUCCUCUAAUGUAGCUAUAGCUUGAAAGAUAUUUCCAAACUUCUGCUUGCCCCACACAGUUAAGGCAACUUUUUUUUUUUUUUUUUUUUAUGUUUUUAAUGAAAGACUGUAAAUGGAUUCCGCUCUAGUUCAGAAUUCCAGUUCUAUCUUACCACCUCCAUACAAGAUUUCUCUUUUAACCAAAAUAUUUAAGAAUCUAAAUGAUUUAACUAUAUGCUCCUUUUUGCUACUGAAUUGCAGCAAUAAAGAAGCAUGAUCAGAGCGACUCCUUACCAUAUGUUCCACAUCUAAUACUGGAAAUACAUAAAUAAUCUUAUCAUUGUACAGUACCCUGUCCAGUUUUUUUAAAAUACUCUCUCUAUUAGUUCUCCCAUUCCACUAAGUAUAUUUUCUACCUUUAAAUACAUGCUCCUCCAAAUUGUACAUACUGAUACAAUGAUUAAAAUCUGAUGUCUCUUCCACUAUUACAUAAAGUCCACCCAAUUUUUCUUCUUUAUCCCUAAUCAAAUUAAAGUCCCUCCUACUAGCCAGGGUUCAUUAAUACCAUUAGAUAAGUCUCCCAAAGAUUCCCAUAAUACUAAGAUUUCAUUGGGACUACGCUUUGCAUAUACUAGUGUAACAUUUACUGAUAUUCCAACAUUUUUAAUCUCUAAUCUCAAAGUAAGUUACUAUUCCUCAUUACUGAUUAUACUAUACUCUACUGUAGAAUCCAUGAAUGCCCAUAUCUUGCUUGAUAUAUUAGCUGUAGUAGCUGCAUCACCAAUCUUCUUUUAUAAUCAUUAAUAUUUAGACUUUUCUGAAAAGGCUCCAUGAGGUCUAUAAACCAAAAUUGAUGUAUCUUGUGCAUUGUAAUUAACCUUGUGAACGCUUUCUGAGUAUUGAAAGUUCUAAUAUUUCAUAUCAAAGUAUUCAUCUUGAUUUUGAUUUUGUUGUAUGACUCCUUGUCUGUAUUCUACUUUUUUCUAUAUUUUUGCUUUUUUUCUGUUGUUUUCCACGUUUAGCACUCAACAUUUGUAUUUUCUUUGGAGACAAAUCAGCUGCUACUGCCACCUGCUUUAUAUUGUCCUCCAAAUCCUCAUCAUCAAUAUCUACUUUCUUAAUAUUUAUAAGUUCAAGUUGCUUUUCUGCAUCUAUUACAAUCACCAUGACUUCCUUAUUUGUAUUUUGCUAUUCUACUAUCAUCAACUCUCUGUCUUUGUUACAACUUUCAGCUUUCUUUUGGUGGUCAUUUGAAUGUUCACUGUGCCCUAUACUUGCUUCCCUUUGCUGAUGUUGAUCUCCUUACUUUUCUACAUUAAUAUCCUCUUUACUUCUGUUAACUGAACUUUGUUUUGCACUUUCAUCUUUCUGCACUAUAUUUGUUUGCUUUGGUAUUUGACUCACUGUAUCUGCAUGCUCCUCUUGGGAAUUUAUCUUACCAAAGCUUUUGUUUACCCAAUCCUUUAUAGACUCCUUGGUGCUUUCUUCAUUCUUUUUAAUAUCCUUAAUCCCUCCCUCUGCAUUUAAAGCUUCAAAAGCAUUGGUAGUAGUCACUUCCUUCUGAUUUUCUCUUUCUACCUCACCAACUAUAUGUCCAUACCUAUCCCUUCUAUAUUUGAUUCUUCUAUGUAACCAUUACUAUUUAUUAUUCUUUGUAGUUUGCCUUUCAGUUUAUUUUUAUCUGCUAUCUUAUCCCUGCCUUCUUUCCUUAUUCUUGUCUUUUUUUUUCUUCUUACACUUUAUUAUGUAACUCUGGAUGAAUAUUCUAAUAGCUUGUUUCAUCAUGACCUUGCAAAGAACGUUCUUUGCAGUACUUAGGCAUGUAGUCAUAUUGUAUGCUAAUCCAUUUUGACUUUAUUUCACCAGUCACUUCAUUUUCUUCAUUGAUUUUCACGCUCUAAGUAGCUUAGCUAUCAAAUCAACUUCAACCUUUACCCUUGCACAAUUAGGACUUGUUUGAUUCUUUGUAGCCUUGUCUAACGUUAAUGGUUUUCCUUCUACCAAAACUAUAUAAUAAAUUGCCUCUUUUGCAAAACAAUUUGGUGGAAGACCAGGCAUUGAAAUCCAUGCUACUUCUAUAGUAGUUUCAAUAUAUGGCUUAAUCCAUGGAUCCCAUUUAAGUGUUCUCAUCUACCAGUACAAGUCCUUUGCCUUAAUAUAAAAAGCUGAUGUAGAUAGUAGUUGCACAUAAUCCUCCAAUCCAUUCAAUCUAAUAAGUAUGUGUCUUGCACCCAACAAACCUAUUGUGCAUUCUCCCUUUAUUCCACAUUGCAUUGGUAUAGACUUUUUUAACUCCUUAAUAUUAGGUUUUCCAUAAGAGAACUUACCAAUUAUAGCGUAUAACAAAUUCUCUUGCAGUCUCAUAUUUUUCACCUCUGAGUAUUUCCACGUAAUACUUGGUUCGCCAUGCAACAUUAUAAUUAGUUUUGAAGGAACCCUAACAUUCUCAUGCACGUACACUUUAGGUUUGAAUAAAUCUGCAUAUGAUGUCUCUUUCACAUCAAGUUUUUGUUUAUCAGCUUUCUUAUGUAUCACUAUUUCCUCCAGUGGGCUAUUCCCACCGGAAGUAGCAGCCAUGAUGGUCAAAAAUUAGAUCGAGAUAAGGGUUUUUGCAUGUGGCGGCUUAGGAUUUCACUUGCUACUUUUCUUCUUUCCUUUUAUCACUACUGUCACUCUUUUCUACUCUUAUUGAAAAUGUUUAGAGGGUGACUUUGGAAGUAGCAGUAUUGCAUCUGUAUCUUGUACCACUGGGAAAACGGACUGUCUAAUUGUUGGGUAUAGAAAGAUAUGGGACACAUUAGGAUAUGGAGGCUACAUGGGGUCGAGAUAAACUGUGAACUGUACAGGCAAGCACCGCCAUAGGAGAAACCCAUUAGUCUGACAAGUGAUUUUUGAGAAGACUCAAACAACAGUAUAAAAUGGCAGAAUUAGAGAUGUCUUUACAUUCAAAAGUAACUUUUAUGGAUGAUCCGACUGAUAGGAACGAGAAAUACUACUAUAGGUUUGGUCCCUUCCGUAGGCUAUGUGGUGCACUAAUCUUUUAUAGAAAAUUAUUAGUGUUCCUUUUUUUGUUUAAAUAAAGAGGCCCAAUGGGCCAGAACGAAAAAAGGAAAGAAAUAUUAGUAUCAUAGCAUAAUUUAACUUACCAUAGCUAUUUAAAAUUUUUAUCCUUUUAAAUAAUUACAUAAAUCUCUUUUUUUAUUUAAAAAUUCGGAUACAUCACAGAAGAAUGUGAUGUAUCCAUGUAACAUUAUGUGAUGUAUCUUGAAGAAUGUGAUGAAUCUAUGUGGAAUAAAUCAGGAUUUUUUUUUUAAUUUUGAGAAAAGUUGAGAUAAGAGUGUUGUUACCUUUUAAAAGGAUUGAGAUUUAUGUAACCUUUACAAAAAAAAAUAAGUCUUUAUAAAAUAGGAUAGGCCUAACGAGGUUAAGCCGAAAAAAACAAAAUAAAGAAAAAAAAGGAAAGAAUACUAAUUAGGAAACUCAAAAAAUGAACCGGCAAAGAAGAAAAAUAUCAAGAGAUUGUAGACAACUCCAUUGCUUGAAUUCUAUAAAGCUCCAUCGCCGGUGAAAUCGACAACUAGGAGCUACAACAACAUCUGAUAUGAAAUCUGUUUUGAGAAGUGUAACCUUGAUCCAAAACUAUGCUUCUUUUUCUCGCAGGUAAGACUUCUUAUCUUUGAUAAAAAAAAUCAAUAGGUUAAACCCCAUAGAAAUUGUAUCACCACUGAGGAUUAGAUCCUUGAAUAGGCCAUUAAUUUAACCUUUUCGACGUCAGUAGGUAUGAAGCUGAUACUUUGGGAACACAAUGUAGAUCUGAGAUAUGAACACCUAGCCUUAAGCAUAAAGAACCUAGUAAACCUAAAUAAAGUAAAUUUCUUUACUAUAACAAUCACUUGGUUGAAUCCAAAAAACUACCACUAAUGUUAUAAUCUCAAAUUAACACCGAUUUAUCUUUACUAUCAAGAGCUUCAGUCUUGGAAGUGGUCUUGAAAGACAAAACUCAUCCAACAUAAUGAGAAUAUUUUAAGAAACAUAAAGAGGUAUAUCUCGAAUAUCAAAGAACAAUCUCAAUUUCUUAUCUCUCAACUUCAAUUACUUGAACCCAGAGGUUAAUACCACCAUUAUUAGUUAAGAAUUUAAAAUUUAAAAUAUCCAUGAGUCAACUAAAAAUCGAUCUAUGAAUACAUAGAAUAAGUGUCAAGAAUACACUACUUAUAUCUUCUAUUUGAGUUUCAUCCUAUAUGCAACACCUCAGAGCUCUGACCAGGUGCAUGGUAUUGUAACCAACAAAAACUAAUUCAAACAUCAUUAGUAAUGUAGGUAGAUUAUUUCUUAAUACAAAGUUGUAGUAUUCAUCAGUAACUAGAGAUGAACAAUUAUGAAGUAUUUAUUGAACCUGAUUGCCUAAUCCUCAUGUUUGGAGUACAACUUAGGGAAACAGUUAGAGAUACUUUACAAUUCUUAGCUUUGAAACAAAACUUUCCACUAUUUCACUAAGUCUAACUUAUGGGUACUCUAUAACUUAAACCUUAUAGACAAAAGUUAUAACUUAUGUUUGAUGAGAAAUGUACCUAUGUUUUAACUUUUGCCUAUAAAGUAGAACUUGUGGUUCAUUGUGUAGGUUACUUGUCUUGAAAUAUCUAUUUUACAAGUAAAAGUUAGAACGAUUGUCUUAUGGAUAAAAUUUAUUAAUUUAGGCCCAUAAAUCAAAGGCCACUUUUGCUAAACUUUUCUUAUGGGAGACAAAAUAUACCGACCAUCCCAUUUUAGGAUCAUUUCUGAACUUGAACAAAUCAUUUAAACAUAUUAGUGCGCCUUAAUGUAUCUCCCCUGAAAAGGGUAAAAAUUUCCCUUAUGUACAAAAUUAGAGCCAUUUUUAUCAAUAGUAGCAACACUUUAUAGUUUAUCAAACCUAUACAAGCAUGGUAAAAUAUGGAUGAAACAAGGCUUACAAUAGAUUUUGUAUGAUCUUUCUACCUAAAACUAUGUUAUCAUCUUUCCCAUUUUUUCCUGUUUGUUCCAUAAUUCCAAUAUCAAUAAAGUUGCGUCUUAAUCAAUUUUAAUACACUAUCAAAAUAUUCUACUUACUCCAUUAAAAUUUCAAUUGGAUUCCCUGUAACAUCUUUUUCUACUAACAAGGAUUGAAAAGAUAAUUAACAAAUAUAUAUUGAUAAACUAGGCAGUUCCAAAUAUUAUAUGUAAGUUGUUAUUGUAAGCAAACUCUACUAAAGGUAGAUACCGUCCCAACUACAACAAAAAUCAAGAACUCAAUGCCUCAACAUGUUUUCCAGUAUCUAAUGGUUCACUCUGUCUAUCUGUCCGUCUGCAGGUGAAAUACAGUACUCAAAUCCACUCAUGUUCGCAACAUUUCUUGGCAUGGUUCCAGAAGUUCUUAGUGAAGUAAUGUUCCCUAUAUGACAUAAUAGAUACCGGAACCUUGAAGCCUGGCAAUUUUAGUCAUAUAAAAUCUGUAUUAGGUGCACCAGUAUAGGUAGCUUUGGGGUAUGAAGUUUGUUGAAUUUGUCAAUCGAUCAACGCUACCCAUAUAGAAUCAAACACUUUACAAUUUAUAAGAAUCCCAUUACAACAUCCAUGGUGAUAUUCUCUCACUUCUAUCCUUGUCAUGUUUAGGAUAAUUUUGCUCGUCUUUUUUUGUCUCAAAGGAAAAAGUUAUGAAUUGUCUAUUUUUAAUAAGCACAUAUUCAUAUCCCACUUGAGAGGCAUCAUAAUAAAUUGUAAAUUCUAUAAUUGUCGAUGGAAGUACUAACAUUGGGGUUGUUUUCAAAUGUUCUUUGUGUUGUUGAAAACUCUAUCUGCAUGCCUCUAACCAUUGGAAUUUCACAUUCAUUUAUAUUAGCUUUGUCGAAGGUGCAACUAUCUUAGAGAAUCCCACAUGUAACAACUAUCAUAGCCCACGAGACUUAAGAAUUUAUAUCUAGACCACAAUUGUUGGCUUCUCUACUUCUUUACUGCUUCCACUUUCUUUGAGUCUACUAAGAUAACUUCUUAAGAUAAAAUAGGUCCUAGGAAGUCAAAUUGGUUAAACAAAUUUCACCAUUAGAGGCCUUAGUAUAUAAAAUACAUUCUCAAAGUGUUUGUAAUAUCAUCUUCAAGUGUUGUCAAAGAUCUUCCUAUUUCCUUGAAUACAUAAGGAUAUCAUUGAUAUACCAGCUCAUGAAAGUACAUUUUACAUCUUCAGAGAUUGAUAAUUGCUUGUUUUUCAAUAACCGUUAGUGUUUUUAAUAUGUUUUGUGCGUGUUCUUAGGAAUUAAACUCAGAGGCUAGAAAAAUUGUAACUUUAAGAUUAUGAGACCAACGACGUGGUGCUUGACAGACCGUUAGUAUCCUGAAGAACCAUCGAUCUUUUCAUUACCAUGAAUAAGAAAAUAAGGAAAGCAUAAGUUUGGUGAUGGUCCAGCUGAUGGGUCAUCAAAGCUGUGAUGGAUCAUCAACCAAGGUGUCAUAGUGAAAUAGAAUCCAUGGAAAUUAUGAGUCAAAAAACAAUUAAGGAGAUAAGCCAUCAAAUGAGUGACAUAUAGAUAAAUAGGAAGACGAGUGUAGAAAAAUAGACACAAAAUUAAUACCGAAAAGGCAAUCGAAAAAUGUAUCAAAUCCUAAAACCUCCCUUAAUGACUAUCAAUAGGCACCUAACUCUUACAGUACCGUAAAGGGGAUUAGAUCCACCUUACAACCAUAAGUUCUAAGCAAAGUUCAACACAUGCUUUUCCAAGCACUCAAACACUCCCAUGGAGUCUUAUGAAUACAUCAUGUAAAAAUAUAAUCCAAAAACUAAGGAAAUAAGCCUAGCUACUAAGCAUUUAUAGUUUGGCUACAUAUUACACAAUUAGGGCCCAAAAGUGACCCAAAUGUAAGAAAAUACCCACUGAGGGCUGUUUUGACCCACUUUUGAAAUGUUAGAGCGGAUCAAAAGUAGAUCCAAAGCAUCUUGGGAGCAUGACCCUUCCAAGGGGCUUUUGAGCCCCAUUUUGCACUCCUUCGACCUGGCCAAAGUCCUUUGACCCUCCUUAAUGGUAAUCUUACUGUAUGUGGCAUCUUUUAAAAGCACUUAGGAGUCAUCAAGCACCUCGAGCAUCAUACGUAUCUCAUCCAAAGGUUCGGAGGCAAUGUGGAUUGUAUCAUCCUCCCCUUCUUGAAAAGAUUCGACCUCAAAUCCAAACCUUUCAAACCAAAGAAAGGAAAAACAAAUACAACAACCUCAUGAAAUGAGGGUUAGGGUUAGCACAAAUAAUUAGGGUUAGCACAAAUAAUUAUAGUAUCAUCACAAGGUUGAACACACUUAAGAUAUAACCAAGGAUCCCUUGUUUUAAACAUUAGAAACUUAUCAAAGAAUGCACAAAGGGGUUGGAUAUGGGUUUCAUCAAGAGAUAAGGAAAUUACAAAGGUUAUAAUGGCAUUAAAUAGUUCAAAGGGUAAAGCUACCUUCACUUUAGGAGCCAUAAGACACAAUUGUUUCUUUACCUCUUCAAGAGACCACAUUAAGAGUGGUGCCUCAAUUGGUUUUAAAGUCCACAAGACCCAUAUAAAAUUGUAAUUCAAACAAGUGCACCAACCAAUAAGUUUCCUACCUUUACAUAAAACAAAUCCUAGAAUAACAUGGAUAACAUCAUAAGCAAAAAGGUAGUAUAGGAAGGAAUAAAUUGUAAAAGCAUCAUCCAAGGUGCUAUUAUCUAUAAGAAGGCUAUUUGGCUCAAAAUACUUAGCACAUAAUGCACACAAGGAUGGAACCAAAGCAUUUAAGCACAUAUGACUCUUUCCUUUCAAAUAAAUUUCCCAAAGAAAAGAAAUUCAUUAAUGGGUCCAUGCCUUUCAUAGUAUGUUUAUCUCUAUUAACAAAGGUAAGUAUAAUCCCAAGAGCCCCACAAGAUACUUUAAAUUGUCCAACCCUAUGAAUGUGACAAGAAAUCCUUAGCAUCCACGGGAUCUCCAACAAACAAAUAAUCAACUUAGCAUCCACAAGUUGGAAUUCACACAAUUUAAGCACAAGUGUGUAGGAUGCAAGUUUAUAAGCAACAUACAAAGGAGAUAAAUACAUAUUUGCCCUCGGGUUCUCCAGAAUAAUACCAUUAUAAUGUCGGACUCAAUAGGCUACUAGCCAUGCAAUCAUCAUUUUCAUGCAUAAGAGUGAAAGAUUUAUCUAUUUUCCUUAAAUUUCUUGAGCACAUUCUUCUUUACCUUGGUGUGAAGGUUCUGUACAAGCUUUGGAUUCAAUUAAGAUUUACCUCAUCAUGUCUUCAAAGGGAAUUUUCUCUUUCAGCACUUGUUCUUUUUCCACUUACCAUGUUGGUACCUAUACACAUCCUUAUUAAAAGAAUGACAAACAAUGUUAGCUCUGGUUGGUGAAAGCCCCCUCACUUCACUCCUUAUAACCUUUUUUUCCUUUAUUAGGUUGCCACCUUGCACUCCCUUACUCCUCUUAAUCUUUUGUCUCUCAAUUUCUUUUAUCUUGGAGUAAGUGACCACAUUUCCUUGAAUUUGGGAAGUUUAGGUGGAAAGAGAUGGUUUCCCUAUUAGUCUAACACAAUUUAAGGCCAAUUUUGAACAUUUGGAAUCUUAUAUUGGGCAACCAAUUAGAACCCAAGAAUAAGUGUCCACGUUACAAGGAGAUUAUGUCACACCACACCUUCUCAAAGUAACCAUCUCGAGUGAAGGAAGCCUUUAUGCUCUUAAAAAUUCUAUAGCCUUCCAAGACGUAUGGAAAAUACUUGGACACUCGAGGUACCCCUAGAUAAUCAACCAUAAGAGGGGUUAUGUAGUUUUCAUGAAACCAAUCAUCAAGUAUAAGAACACAUCUCGAAACUCCACAAAUAUCUACCCCUCUUAAACAAGGUUGUUUUCUUGGAUCACUAUUAUAAAGCUUCAUAUAACCCUUCAGCACAUAUAUUAGCCUCAAAAACUCUUUCAAGGCACCCCAAGUUUGAGUAGAAUUCCUUACAAAUUUACACCAUUCUAAGGUCGGACCUUGAAUGUACUUAAGGGCAUAUGUAGCUUUUUCGGCUUUUUUCAUAACAUAAUCCUUGAAGAUCCUUUCGCAUUUCUAUUCCCAAUCAAGGUAAACUUUAGGAUCCCAUUCUCUUUUGAAGAUAGAUAGAGUAGGAAGAAAUUGACUCCUACUAUACCCUCUAUUCAUACCUUUGUUCCCGCUUCUAUACAUUUGAUCAUGGCUAUAUUCAUGGCCCUUAUAAUCCCCAUCUUCUUCGUAGCCAUAACAUUCUUCACCACAAUCAUAGUUUCCUAUGUCAUAGUAAAAAUCAUAUGAGUCUAUCAAAGAUAUGUUCCCCUUAUAUAUCCUGGUACCUACAAAAUGAACAAACAAGAUUAGUACUAAAGCUCCUCACUAACACUCAUAUGAAUUCACCUUUGUGAUCCUCACAAUUAGAGCGGUGAAUAUUGAAAGUUGCUUAUACUCCUAUGGACAAUAAGGUGUUAAUCUCUACUUUGCAGUCGGAGUGGAUUUUUGUUUGAUCGAUUUAAAGGAAUAAAAACUAUUUAAGGACUUGAAUCAAGAAAUCACAAAGAAUUGAAAAAGAGAAAAUCUUGAAAGAAAUUAGAUGAUGAAAGAAAUAUGACUCAAUAGCUAAUCAAUCAACUUAGUGGAUGAAUUACAAGUUGAUGAGUAGUUUAGGAAUAAAAACAAGAGUUUAGGAAUCAAGAAAUUGAAACUAUAGAAUCAAACCUUGAGCAAUGGAGUAAUUAAAGUGCUAAAAUGCACUUUGGAAGCUUGAAUUUUGCAUUUCAAACAUGAUUUGCAUUGGGAGGGGCUGAUCUGCAUUUGGUGACCUGCUCUAGCCUGUGGGGAUCAUGUCCAAGGCAGCCUAGACACAGGUAACACUGGUUUAAGGUUCCUUUGGGCUACUGAAGUAACUCCAACACAGGUCUAAGGCAGCUUGGGUGCAGGUCAGCUGCCAGCAUUCACAAGGGGCCAAAAAUGAACUUGUUGUGGUCCCUUUUUUGUUCUUUUCUCUUGGGAUAUUCUUGGAACCUUUAAAGAUGCUAAAUAAUAACAACUUUAAACUCUUUUUAGUUCUCCUUCAAGUAUCAAACAACAAUAUUUGGUGAAUAUUCAACUUAAAGAUUUGAAUGUCUUCAAGAACACCAGGAACUUCAAAAAUCUCUAACUCUUAAACCAUUGAUCGGAAUGCGAUGAAAUUUUGAACCAAGCCUAUUUUCAACCUUCUAAACACAUUACAAUCAUCAAUUUUCUCAAAUUAUUCACCAAAAUAUUCAGAUUUUGCAAUCAACUUUAAAAUCUUCAACCCAAGCUUCCAAUAAGGAUAGAACACUCAAAUAAGCUUUGAUUUGACUCAAAUUUGAUUUAUAGACUCGUAUAGUGUUAGAGACACAAAUCUAACACUAAAAACAUAAGAAAAACAAAAAAAAAACUCAAAAUUUGACCUAUGAACAAAAAUGUGAAUAUUUACUUUUUUUUGGGAUUUUUCGAUUCUUGACACUUCUUUUUUGUUGAUUUUCAAGACAACAAACCCAAGACUAUAAUCGUGGGAGCAAUCCUAAACUCAGCUCUGAUACAAAUUGAUAUGUAUCGACCCACAAGGACUCAAAUCAAAGAUGUAGAAAGUAAAUAUAGAUAAAUAGGAAAAUGAGGACAGAAAGAUAGACACGAAAUUGAUAUUGAACGGGCAAUCGAAGGAUGUAUCAAAUCCUAAAACCUCCCUCAAUGACUAUCAAUAGACACCUAACUCUUAUGGUGACCAAAAAGGGGAUUAGAUCCACCUUACAACCAUUGUUUCUAAGCAAAGUUCAUUAUAUGCUUUUCCAAGCACUCAAGCAAUCCCAUAGUCUCAUGAAUACAUCAUGUAAAAAUAUCAUCCAAAAACUAAGGAAAUAAGCCUAGAUAAUAAGCAUUUAUAGUUUGACUACAUAUUACUUAAUUAGGGCACAAAAGUAACCCAAAUGUAAGAAAAGACCCACUAAGGUCUAUUUUGACCCGCUCUUGAAAUGCUAGAGCAGAUCAAAAGCGGAUCCAAAGAACCUUGGGUGCAUGACCCUUCAAAGGGGCUUUCAAGCCCCAUUUUGCACUAUUUCAACCUCGGUAAAGUCCUUUGAACAUCCUUAAUGGUAAUCUUCCUCCAUGUGACAUCUUUUAAAAAAACUAAGGAGUCAUCAAGCACCUCGAGCAUCAUACGUAUCUCAUCCAAAAGUCCGGAGGCAAUUUGGCUUGUAUCAUGGAAGUAGACGAUGGUUCAUCUCACUAACCAUCGUUCAUUUGAUAGACCAUCCCUUCAGCCAUCAAUCAUAAAGCUAUAGCUCAAAUUUGAAAUUUAAAUUCCUAUUUUCUUGGAGCCUUUAAAUACCUAGUUUAGGAUCCAGAAUAGGCAUCUUUUACCUGGAGCUGACUUUUUUAAUGCAUAUGUUCUUGAGAAAGAAGUUUUGGAGUUUGAAACACAACAAUUCUUUGUUUGAACUUGGAUUCAAAUAUGAAUUUCUACAUUGUAAGUUCUAAUGAGAUACACAUCAAUUUGUAUCAGAGCUGAGUUAAGGUGGUAAAUUUUAUAUUUCUGGUAAAUUUCAUAAUUCUCGAUUGCGAGGUUGAUUUUGAGGUACCCAUAAUACUAGGUAGACCAUUCCUGGCCACCAAAAGAGUAUUGUUGGAUAUAGAUUGAAAUAAAUUCAAAUUCAAGCUUAAUGAUGAAGAAGUAAAUGAUGUUUUUCAGUCUGUGACGCAACCCAAAGAUAUGAGUAUGGUGUCAGCUAUUGAUGUUGUAGAGGAUAAUGACAUAGUGGUGUCUAUUAAAGAGCGACUCUUUAUUGAGACUUUGGCAGUAAUAUUGAUGAAUUUUGGUUGUGAUGUGAUUAAGAAGUAUGAUGAAAUAGUUUGUGCAUUGACUCGAAUGGGUUCAUACUUAUAUACUCUGAAUAAAUUAGACUUGGAAUUGAAAAAUAGACCAAUAUCGCCAGCAAAGCCAUCCAUUGAAGAGCCGCCAGUAUUGGAGUUAAAAGAAUUACCAGGUGUAAUACCCCACAUUUUGGGCUAGUCUUUGAACCGUUAUUGCUACGUGUAUAAGCUAUGAUCUAAAUGAUUACCAUGCAAAUAUGAGUUUCGUGAUCUUUAUCCUCAUGUUUUAUUUUCUUUUGAGAUGAAAAAUGUUCAUAAGAAUCACUUAGAACAAAGUUGGGCUUAGAGCCUUUGAUUCGUCCAAAGUUUGGCAUUUGAUUCUACAAGGGUCUACUUUAAAUGUAUAUAACUUUUAAUAUACAUAUAAUUUUGUAGAUCAAGACCCACCAAAUUAUAAAUAAUUGAAUUAUCUUUUCAACGAUACCAAUUUUCCCAAAAUCUAAUACCCGAGCAAAAAGUUAUGACAUUUUCUGUAUGAGGCAGUAAGCCGACGCGAUAGCAAUGUGACAUGUUGGCCAGCGCAUUAGGAAACUGUUUCAUAUGCUAAUUCAGUUUUUAAAGGGUCUAGGGGAACUUUGGUCACUUCCCCUCACCCAAAUCCACCCAUAACACUUAAUUUCAGCCUCCAAAAGCAAUAUACACUCAAUUAUUCAGCUUUUCUCUCAAAGAAAAACCCUAGCCUCCUCAAGAACACCAAGAACUUCAUCAAAUUUUCUUCAAGAAAAGCAAGAACUCAAGUUUCCUAAUUCAAGAAUGCUUUCCAGAUUGUUUUUCUCCUUCAAGAUUAAAGCUUUAAGGUAUGUGGGAGUUCAUCCAUGGGUCCUCUUUCAUCCAUGGAGCCCAAAAAUCUUUUUUUUUUUUUUAAAUUAAAGAAUGAAUUUUUCCAUUAUUAUGGUUUUUUGUAUGUUCAAAAAAGGUUAAAUUUCAUGUUUUCAUGAUGUUUUUAAUUCAAUUCAGCCCAUGUAUGAUUCCAUGCAAGAUUUUAAAUCAUGCUAUGAAUUUGAAUUUCCUAUGCUUUAUUCAAGUAAAUCCCAUGAUAGAUCUUAAAUUCAUGAUGUUUAGCAAUAUUCUCAUGUUUUAAAUUCAUGCCUUCCAAAUGUUUGAUGAAAUUCCCAUAUCAUGUUAAGUCAAUUUUAAGAUGAAUCCCUAAGCUAUGAACUUUGUCAUGUAACUCUAUUGUUCCCUCAUGUUUAAGACAUCUUUACGUUCAAGCUCUGAACUUUACAUGUUUUGAUGAAAUGCUCAUGUCCUAUUUUUAACGAAUUACUUGUGAAUUCCCCAAUUCAUGAUCUUAGUUAUGUAAUCAUGCUAUACUCCCAUGUUUAAGAUAUUCCCAUGUCGAAGUUCAUGAUCCCCAUGUGCUUGAUGAGUUGUCCCAUGUUAAAGCAUUAAUUGGCGAUUUUUAAUAUUGAAUUCAUGCUAUUACUACAUGUCUAAAGCUAUCCUCAUGCUUAGUUUAAAUCAUGAAUUGCAAGUGUUUGAUGAAAUACCCAAGUGAUGAAUUUCUUUAAAUAAUGACUAUUUACCAUGUCCUCAAAGCCUUAGUAUGGUCUUGUUGUUAAUGUCAUCGAGUCCUGGGGGUUAUGAAUACCCGAAAUUUAGCUUUUGUCUAAUUUUCUAGAAUCUACAGAAUGAUUUCAGUUAACCAUAGAAAAUAUCAUUAAUAGUAAUAUGGUUAGUUGCAAGUCUAAUUAAGUUACUCAGCCAGUUUCAGUUCCAUUAUCAGUUAUACAUUAAUAACUACCUCAGAAUCUGUCUGCACUAUUAUUUUCAAAAUACCAUGACCUAAGUUUAUCAGUUAUAAGUUAUCAGUGCCUACACCAGUUAGUAUUUCAGUGAUUUUUAGUUGAGAGUAGAUUUAGCACCGAGCGAAUGCAGGAAUGGUGGCUUCCCCGUUAGUUAGGCAGAGCCAUUAGUAGCAGUCCUUGUAUUCUAGAACUACAUAGCUAGCGCAGGAUGAGAAGUCACCCAUCAGUUUAGGCUUGACUAUCUCACAGGGGUCACUCAUCAGUUCAGGCUUGACACCCUUAGUCCUUCGAGAUAAUACAAUAUAUCAGUAUAGUGGAUCCAUACAGCUAGCGUUAGUAACCAUGGCAUAAUAUUGGCACCCUUCCAACUGGAGUUAUAGGUUGGACUCGAUUAGCUCAGAUUAGGGCAUGUCGGUUAGAUGACCACUCCCAUAGUUAUAAUUUUAAUUUCAGACUCAGUAUAGAUAUCAAUUCAGUUCUACAGAAUCAGGACUGUCAGAAAUAGUCACCCAGUUACCAGUAACUCAAUUAUCAAUAAUCAAAUCUAUCAGUUACUCAGUUAUCAGACUCAGUAUUCAGUUCUAGUAUAAAUCUCAGUUACAGUCUUAGUUACAACCUCAAUUAUAGUCUUAGCUAUAAUCUCAGUUACAAUCUUAGUUACAGUCUUAGUUACCAUCUUAGUUACAGUCCCAACCCCAGUCUCAAUCUAGUAAUCAGAUCUGUAACUCAGUUUAGUUUCAAUUUUGCUUGACCAUAGCAUACAAUUAUCAAUUAUUCAGUUUUUAGCAUUUUAGUACCUCAGUUUACAGACUAUUUUAGAAUCAUGUUAUAUGCUUGGUCUUGCAUUCUCAAAUAAUAUAGUUUUUCAUAAAUUUAUGCUUAGUUACCUCAUGUUACUCAGUCAGUCCUUACCUUAUAUGUAUAAUAUUCUACAGUUUUAUCCUAGUUAUUCAGGCUAAGUAUAGUUCAGUCUUACAUGCCCAGUAUUCAACUAUAAGUCAUUCAUUUAAUCAGAUAAGUUAGUAUGUUUAUGCAUUCAUGCUCAGUGUGAUUGUAUAUUCAGAUCCUUAAUCUACGUCAGUCUCUAUCACAUAGUUUCAGACCCAGUAUUCAUACAAUAUCCAUGUUUUAUCAUAUCCCAACUUCAGUUAUACUUUUAUCAACAAAGUAAAAUUUUAUAGAAAGUAAGUGUAGAGAUUCACCAUCUUAUCAAAGAAUUUUUGUCACUCAUGCUUUAAGAUAUUUCAGUUUUCAUUUUAUUCCAGCCUAUUAAUGAGUCUACUUACACUUAGUAGGCAUGUUUUAUGAUUAUUUAUGAAAUCAAUUUUACUUAUUGCAUUCACCCUUGCAUACUCAGUACAUUCCAAAAGUACUGAUCCAAAUAUACAUAUAUGUGGUUACAUUGUUUCAUAAUAUAGGUACCAGUUGUAGCCCGUACGUCAUGAUCAAACAAUUGUAGAUUUCAGCCAGCAGGUGAUGAGUUCUCCUACUUUAGGAACUCCAGACAGUUUUAGUUCAUGUACAGUUCAUUUACUUUUAUGUGUAUUAAUUAGUGG
rnacentral:lncRNA from 1 species